rnacentral:rRNA from 1 species
GAGACCCACGCCAACAGUUGCCAGCUCGUCCUCCGGGAUGGAGGGGACACUGUUGGGACCGCCUCUGCUAAAGAGGAGGAAGGAAUGGGCAACGGUAGGUCAGCAUGCCCCGAAUUAUCCGGGCUACACGCGGGCUACAAUGGGUGGGACAAUGGGUAUCGACACCGAAAGGUGAAGGCAAUCUCCUAAACCCAUCCUUAGUUCGGAUUGUGGGCUGCAACUCGCCCACAUGAAGCUGGAAUCUGUAGUAAUCGUGUCUCAACAUGGCACGGUGAAUAU